GGGGCUGUAGCUCAGUGGCAGAGCACUUGCCUAGCAUGCGUGAGGCACUGGGUUCUAUCCUCAGCACCUCA
rnacentral:tRNA from 1 species